CGGGCUCGAGUAAUACCGGAGUGUCUUGACAAUCCUAAUAUAAACAGUCUUAGGGAAGUAACCAGUUGUCAAAA
rnacentral:tRNA from 2 species